rnacentral:rRNA from 1 species
AUUGAACGCUGGCGGCAGGCCUAACACAUGCAAGUCGAACGAGUGGCGGACGGGUGAGUAAUGUAUGGGAAACUGCCUGCUGGAGGGGGAUAACUACUGGAAACGGUAGCUAAUACCGCAUACCAUCAGAUUUGCCCAGAUGGGCUUAGCUUGUUGGUGGGGUAACGCCUCACCAAGGAGACGAUCCCUAGCUGGUCUGAGAGGGUGACGAGCCACACGGGCACGGAGACACGGUCCAGCCUCCUACGGGGGGCAGCAGUGGGGAAGUUUGCACAAGGGGCGCAAGCCUGAUGCAGCCAUGCCGCGUGUAGGAAGAGGGCCUUCGUGUUGUAAAGUACUUUCAGCGGGGAGGCGUUACCCGCAGAAGAAGCACCGGCUAACUCCGUGCCAGCAGCCGCGGUAAUUC